AACGAACGCUGGCGGCAUGCCUAACACAUGCAAGUCGAACGAGACCUUCGGGUCUAGUGGCGCACGGGUGCGUAACGCGUGGGAACCUGCCCUUAGGUUCGGAAUAACUCCCCGAAAGGGGUGCUAAUACCGGAUAAUGUCUUCGGACCAAAGAUUUAUCGCCUUUGGAUGGGCCCGCGUUGGAUUAGCUAGUUGGUAGGGUAAAAGCCUACCAAGGCGACGAUCCAUAGCUGGUCUGAGAGGAUGAUCAGCCACGCUGGGACUGAGACACGGCCCAGACUGCUACGGGAGGCAGCAGUGGGGAGUAUUGGACAAGGGACGAAAGCCUAAUCCAGCAAUGCCGCGUGAGUGAUGAAGGCCUUAGGGUUGUAAAGCUCUUUUACCCGGGAUGAUAAUGACAGUACCGGGAGAAUAAGCUCCGGCUAACUCCGUG
rnacentral:rRNA from 1 species